rnacentral:rRNA from 1 species
UACGGAGGGUGCAAGCGUUGCUCGGAAUUAUUGGGCGUAAAGGGUAGGUAGGUGGUCUUAUUUGUCUGGGGUGUAAUCCUUGAGCUUAACUCAAGAAGUGCCCUAGAAACGGUGAGACUAGAGUCCUGGAGAGGGUCGUGGAAUUCCCGGUGUAGCGGUGAAAUGCGUAGAGAUCGGGAGGAACACCAGAGGCGAAGGCGGCGGCCUGGACAGGAACUGACACUAAACUACGAAAGCGUGGGGAGCAAACAGG